AAGCAGCCGCCGACGCCGCCGCGGGGAGACUUCCGCCAGUACUUCUGCCAAGCCUGGCUUCUGAUUGAUCCGCACUGCACAACAAGGCCGCUGUGUCGCCAUCUUUUUUGAGGGCAGUUCUGUGGGCCCCGUAGUGCUCCGCUCUCCUUCAUAAAUCCAGCCGGGAACGGCGGAAUCUGCCUGGAAAUGGCGGGAUGAAGCCUAAAUCCCCUGGCAUUUAACAAAAGCGGCCAAAUCCACCCAGAAGAGUCUCCCAGGAGCGCUACCAAGCUCAACCAGCCCAAACUGCCCGUCUCCGGCGUCAGGCAUCGCCGCCAUUUUGGGUGAGGGCAGUUCCGCCCGGUCCUGGAUAUGCUUCCACAGCUGUCCCCGGCCCUGCUGCAGCCACAGGUCAACGUGGUGGCCAUCCUGGGUGAGCUGCUGGACACCCUGCCCAGGGAGAACGAGAUGCUGCUCGGGUCCGCUGUGAGCUUGUACCGAGACGUGGUGAAAUUCACCAGGGAACUCCGGGCUACCCUGUACCGCACGGAUGACGCCUGGCGGCACCACAAUGUCACCGUGGAUGGUGAUGACCCUGUCACCUCCCUGAGCCGGGCCCUGGCCGCCUGCAAGAGCAGCCCACGGACCACCUGGAAGUGUGUGACAUGGGCAGCCCUGAAGUGGCAGCGGGCAGUGGCUGGGCCAGUGAACAGCUGGGCCCAGCUGGCCAGGAAAGCCACCGAGCUCCGCAACACCUGCAGAGGGGAGGCCAGUGAGGCAGCCGACAUGGCUGCCGCUGCCACCGCCCGGGCCAGAGAGCUGCAGGACGAGGCUGCCUGUGAUGAGACAGCUCAGGAAAACAUGGUGGAGCUGGGUCAGGCCCUGGGCAGGGAGGAGGGGGCCGAGGUAGUGGCCGGGCAUGGAGCCCAGGUGAGCAGAGAGGCCAUGGUGGCUGCCAGCGAGGCAACAAGGGCCACCAUGGUGAGACAGCGGGUGGAGGCGUCCCUGGGGCUGCUGGAGCGCUUGGUGGCCGCGUGUGUCGAAGCCACCGCGUUCCCUCGGGAGCUGCAGCGCAGGGUUGGGGACAUCGAGGCCGCCCUGAAGGGGACAAAUGAGGCGUCCCGCAAUGUCCCUGAGGACUUGGUGGCCAAGGUGGCCGAGGCCGAGUGGAUGUGGGAGGCCAACGCCCGCCUGGCCAAGGAUCACCUGCUGGGGACACUUCCAGACAUCAUCAAGUUCUUGUGCACUGGUGGUCCCGCCAGCCCCAGUGCCCGUGAGGUGGCCGAGCGGUGCCAAAGAGCCAUUGAUGACAUCCCAAGGCUCCUUCGACCCCUGGAGCAUCCCCAGAGGAUCCCCAGGGUGUCCCCAGAGCUGUCCCCGGCCCUGCUGCAGCCACAGGUCACCGUGGUGGCCACCCUGGGUGAGCUGCUGGAUACCCUGCCCAGGCAGGAAGAGGAGAUGAUGCUGCCCGUGUCCACAGCGAGCCUGUACCGGGACCUGGUGGACUUCACUGAGAGCCUCUGGGUCACCCUGUACCGCACUGAGGGCACCUGGUGGCGCCACAAUGUCACCCACGAUGAUGGUGACCCUCUCACCUCCCUGAGUGGGGUCAUGGCCGCCUAUGACAGCACCACCUGGACCAGCUGGGACGAUGUGACAAUGGCAGCCAGGAAGUGGCAGCGAUCAGUGUCUGUGCUUGUGAACAGCUGGGCCCAGCUGGCCAGGAAGGCCACCAAGCUCCACAACACCUGCANAAGGAUCACCUACGGGGGACGCUUGAUGACAUCAUCAACUUCUAUUUCACUGCUGGUCCCACCAGCCCCAGUGCCUGUGGGGUGGCCGAGCAGUGCCAAAGAGCCAUCGAGGACAUCCCAAGGCUCCUUCGACCUGUGGAGCAUCCCCAAGGUGUCCUCAAGAUGUCCCCAGUGAGCACGGAGCUCCAAGAGCUGUCCCCAACCCUGCUGCAGCCACAGGUCACCGUGGUGGCCAUCCUGGGCAAGCUCCUGGCCACCCUGCCCAGGCGGGACAAGAUGAAUCUCGUGUCCGCAGUGGACCUGUACUGGGAACUGGUGAACUUCACCAAGGACCUUCGGGUCACCCUGUACUGCACUGAUGCCACCUGGCAGCGCCACAAUGUCACUUCCAAUGGUGAUGACCCUGUCACCUUGCUGAGCCAGGUCCUGGUCACCUACAAGAGCACCCCAUGGACCCCCCAGAACCGUGUGACAAUGGCAGCCAGGAAGUGGCAGCAGUUGGUGGCCACGCUCAUGAACAGCUGGGCCCGGCUGGCCAGGGCAGCCACCAAGCUCCGCAACAGCUGCAUAGAGGCGGCUGCUGAGGCGGUUGACAGAGUCGCCCAGGCCAGAGAACAACAGCGCAGGGCUGCCUAUGGUGGGACAGCUCAGGAAAACAUGGUGGAGCUGGGUCAGGCCCUGGGCAGGGAGGAGGGGGCCGAGGAGGAGGAUCCCUAUAAAGCCCAGAAAAGGAGAGAUGCCAGGGUGGCUGCCAGCGAGGCAACAAGGGCCACCAUGGUGAGACAGCAGCUGGAGGUGGCCCUGGGGCUGCUGGAGCCCUUGGUGGCCGCGUGUGACGAAGCCACCGCGUUUCCCCGGGAGCUGGAGUGGCGGCUCAGGGACAUUGAGGCUGCCCUGAAGGGGACAAAUGAGGCGUCCCCUGAUGUCCCGGCGGACUUGGUGGCCAAGGUGGCUGAGGCUGAGCGGCUGUGGAAGGCCAACGCCCGCCUGGCCAAGGAUCACCUAUGGGGGAUGCUUGAUGACAUCAUCAACUUCUAUUUCACUGCUGGUCCCACCAGCCCCAGUGCCUGUGAGGUUGCCAAGCGGUGCCAAAGAGCCACCGAGGACAUCCCAAGGCUCCUUCGACCUGUGGAGCAUCCCCAAGAUGU
ensembl:lncRNA